AUUGAAUUGUUUAAGCAAACGAGGUUGAGCAGUGAUGACGGCGGGCGAUGUUGAGCAUAGACGAUGAAGAUCCUUCAAUAGAAUAGUACUCGGAUGCGACGUGUCUCCAUACACAACGUUAUCUGCUCUUGACUCUUCCACUGCAGUGCAAAAGUCGAGUUUGCACUGUUUUUAUCGUGCACUCUGAUAUAUAAUAUGGUGAACUUGUGCACGUUGUUGCGGUUGGAACAGGAAGUGUUUGGGGAGUUAAGCUGUUGAGAUUGAGCGGCGAUGGACGUGGAGGAUGUUGAGCAGAGUUCAUGGAUUGUUUUGUCAUGAUUAAUAAAUGUUGGAUUUGUCGUGUCUUCAUACUCGGCAUUUUCCUUGUCUUGAACGCUUCCGCUAAGAGUCCUUUUCUUUAGAAUUGUUUAUUCGUGGAGAGUCUAACUCGUUUGAAAAUUGUUUAUUUUCUAUACUUUAUUUACUUAGAGUUGGUAUUAUUGUUAGGAUAAUAUUAUGACGUUUUCAAAGUUAAUUCAGUUAUUAAACUUUUGGUCAAAUGUGUAUGUUUUUCCCUUUUCUUCCCCGCUUCUUUAAUCCUCCCCUAGUCAUGAUCAACCGUGCUUUCUAUCCGUAGAAAAUGCGGGCGU